UGCCCCCGGCAGGAUUCGAACCUGCGCACACGGCUCCGGAGGCCGUUGCUCUAUCCCCUGAGCUACGGGGGC
rnacentral:tRNA from 1 species